GGAAAUGGGACGCUUACCAUGCAGUCGAGCGGAAGGCCCUUCGGGGUACUCGAGCGGCGAACGGGUGAGUAACACGUGAGUAACCUGCCCCUGGCUUUGGGAUAACCAUCGGAAACGGUGGCUAAUACCGAAUAUUCACUUCUGGCCGCAUGGUUGGUUGUGGAAAGUUUUUCGGCUGGGGAUGGGCUCGCGGCCUAUCAGCUUGUUGGUGGGGUGAUGGCCUACCAAGGCUUUGACGGGUAGCCGGCCUGAGAGGGCGACCGGCCACACUGGGACUGAGACACGGCCCAGACUCCUACGGGAGGCAGCAGUGGGGAAUAUUGCACAAUGGGCGGAAGCCUGAUGCAGCGACGCCGCGUGAGGGAUGACGGCCUUCGGGUUGUAAACCUCUUUCAGCAGGGACGAAGCGCAAGUGACGGUACCUGCAGAAGAAGCGCCGGCCAACUACGUGCCAGCAGCCGCGGUAAGACGUAGGGCGCGAGCGUUGUCCGGAUUUAUUGGGCGUAAAGAGCUCGUAGGCGGCUUGUUGCGUCAACCGUGAAAACCUGGGGCUCAACUCCAGGCUUGCGGUUGAUACGGGCAGGCUAGAGUUCGGUAGGGGAGACUGGAAUUCCUGGUGUAGCGGUGAAAUGCGCAGAUAUCAGGAGGAACACCGGUGGCGAAGGCGGGUCUCUGGGUCGAUACUGACGCUGAGGAGCGAAAGCGUGGGGAGCGAACAGGAUUAGAUACCCUGGUAGUCCACGCUGUA
rnacentral:rRNA from 1 species